rnacentral:rRNA from 1 species
AAUUUAAUUUUUUAGUUAAAAAGCUGAAAUUUUUUUAUUGGACGAGAAGACCCUGUAGAUCUUUAUAAUUUAAUAAUUUUAUAGUUUGGGGAAUUUUUUAUUUUAAUUAAGUUAAUUAUUUGAUUGGGGUGAUUUUAGAAUUAUUAUAACUUCUAAUUUUAUAUUUCAUUGAUUUAUGUUUAAUUGAUCCAUUUUUAUUGAUUAAAAGAUUAAGUUACCUCAGGGAUAACAGCGUAAUUUUCCCGGAGAGUUCAUAUCGAUGGGAGAGCUUGCGACCUCGAUGUUGGAUUAAAAUAAGUUAUAAGUGCAGUAGCUUAUAAACUAGGUCUGUUCGACCUUUAAUUUUUUACAUGAUCUGAGUUCA